UACGUAGGGGGCGAGCGUUGUCCGGAGUUACUGGGCGUAAAGGGUGCGUAGGUGGCCAAUUAAGUCAAGUGUGAAAUUCCACGGCUCAACUGUGGGAGAGCGCUUGAAACUGGCUGGCUUGAGGUGAGGUCAGGAAGAUGGAAUUGUCAGUGUAGGGGUGAAAUCCGUAGAUAUUGGCAAGAACGCCAGUGGUGAAGGCGGUCUACUGGACUGAUACUGACACUGAGGCACGAAAGCCAGGGGAGCGAACGGG
rnacentral:rRNA from 1 species